rnacentral:rRNA from 1 species
GUGUCAGCAGCCGCGGUAAUACGUAGGUGGCAAGCGUUGUCCGGAUUUAUUGGGUUUAAAGGGUGCGUAGGCGGUUCCAUAAGUCAGUGGUGAAAUACAAUAGCUUAACUAUUGAGGUGCCAUUGAUACUGCGGAACUUGAGUACAGACGAGGUAGGCGGAAUUGACGGUGUAGCGGUGAAAUGCUUAGAUAUCGUCAAGAACACCGAUAGCGAAGGCAGCUUACUAGACUGUAACUGACGCUGAGGCACGAAAGUGUGGGGAUCAAACAGGAUUAGAUACCCUCGUAGUCC